UACGUAGGGUGCAAGCGUUGUCCGGAAUUAUUGGGCGUAAAGAGCUCGUAGGCGGUCUGUCGCGUCGGAUGUGAAAAUCCAGGGCUCAACCCUGGACCUGCAUUCGAUACGGGCAGACUAGAGUUCGGUAGGGGAGACUGGAAUUCCUGGUGUAGCGGUGAAAUGCGCAGAUAUCAGGAGGAACACCGAUGGCGAAGGCAGGUCUCUGGGCCGAUACUGACGCUGAGGAGCGAAAGCGUGGGGAGCGAACAGG
rnacentral:rRNA from 1 species